AAGUCCUAUAGUUUAAAAAAAACAUUAAAUUGCAAAUUUAAUAUUGAUUCUAUCUAAGACUUACCA
rnacentral:tRNA from 1 species